GGAUGUAAUGGUGAUCUGGCUGUGACAUUUGUCACUCUACUGAUUGUCAGGGUGGUUCAGCGGAUCUGGCUGGCUAGGUGGGUGACCCCUUCCUCCCUCACCACUGCAUGUGUGUCCCUCCCAAAGCUGUGUGCUCAAAGAGAACCAUUUCCUCAGUCAAGGGUAUACGAGUAGCUGUGCUCCCCUGCUAGAACCUCCAAACAGGCUCUCAAUUAUCAGCUGAGUGGCCUGGGUGCUUACUUUGCCUUUCCAUGCCUU
rfam:Fukomys damarensis contig101614, whole genome shotgun sequence.